rnacentral:lncRNA from 1 species
UUAUUAAUAAGAAAUAUAUAUGUAUAUAUCAAACAGGCAGAAGAGAGAAAGCAUAUGAAAAUCUUCAAAUAAUAGCUAAAAUAAGUUUAUUACAAUAUGCUAUACAGAACAGAACACGUGAAACUACAUACACUCAUUCACAUCACAAAAACCAGUUUCCAUACACUCAUUCACAUCACAUCAACCAGUUUAACCAUCGAAUCUUGCAUACUCAGGAACUUCCGCUUAUGUGCAGACCUACAGGAAGGGCAUCUCUCCAGCAUCAUCUCUCGUAACCUAAAAGAAGGAACAUAAACCAUCAUCAGAAUUUGCAACUUUUUAUCCUGCCAAAAUAUUAAUACUUGUUUAAAACAAAGGAUUGAUGGAAAAAUUAUUUCCAUAGCCGUUUGUUGGAUACUAAUGGUAGUUUGAGUAGGUAGGCUCAAUAGUUCAAUGUGUUAAAGAACCAGGUGCAUUUUUCUCUACAGCCGAACUAGGUUUAUAGUUCAAAGUCUGUUAAGCAUGUGACACAAAACAUUUUUUGUAUUUCAGCAUGAUAGACCAUAAACAUAACUUGCUAAUUGCAGGUUUACUAACUACAGGUCCUGUUAUCGGCAACCAAAAGCAUUAGGCGAUGAAGAAUAGUAUAUUUGGAAUGCAAUUCAUUAGCCAACCACAUAUGAUAGUCCAUGUGGGUAUUACAUCAGGGAGAAGCCAACAGAUAAGUACAUAUGACAAGAAACAAAAACAGAGAGGUCGUACAACACAGGCACGUGCAUAUCUCCAUGACACCAACCAAGCAAGGAAUGUACAAACAAGAAGCGCACCUUCAGCGUCUCAUCAUCGGUCAUGAUAGGUGUGCUGGUAGGUGGUUGACGAUCCUCCAUUCUUGUCAUGCUUGGUCAUGAUCUGGAUAGCGAAAAGAGGGAGGUUAGGAACAUCACAAUGACAGUACUGAGAUCACUCAAGCAAUCCUAAUGAUGCACAAACCUCACAAUGUUGCCAACAAGGCAAGAACUUCCUUGAUAUUAUCCUUGAUGUUAUCUAGCUCCAGGUUGUUUCGCUGCAGCUCGAUAUUUG